AUGAUCCCACUGACCAUUCUGCUGCUGGGCGUGUUCCUCUCAUUGAGAGGAAACAGAGCCCAGUCAGUGGUCCAGCCUGAUGCUCACCUCACGGUCUCUGAAGGAGCCCCACUAGAGCUCAAAUGCAGCUAUUCUUACGGUGCAACACCUUACCUCUUUUGGUAUGUCCAGUAUCCUGGCCAGAGCCUCCAGCUUCUCCUCAAAUACGUUUCAGGAAACACUCUUGUUAAAGGCAUCAACGGCUUUGAGGCAGAGUUUGGGAAAAGUAACUCCUCCUUCAACCUGAGGAAAAACCCAGUCCACUGGAGCGACUCAGCCAAGUACUUCUGUGCUUUGAGUGACACAGUGCCUGAGGCUGCAGGGGGAGCUAAGCACAAACCUCCAGAGACUUUCUGUGACUUGAAAGCACACCACGAAUGA